UUUAUAACUAAAAAUAACUUUAACUUUAAACCGUAUCCAAAAUAACAGUACAUGUGUCCAAUAUGAAAAGCAAAAAUACAAACUCCCACUGAAACUAGAUUUCCUCAAGAGACAUUACACCGAUAUGAGCAGUGUGCUCAUGAAAGACUUUGGGUAUCAAUCCCUUAGUAAGCGGAUCCACAACCAUGGAGUUUGUCCCAAUAUACUUUAUUGACAUCUGUCCACUCUGAACUCUUUCUUUAACAGCAAGGAACUUGAUCUCUAUGUGUUUUGACUUUGUCGAGCUCCUGUUGUUAUUAGAGUACAACACUGCUGAUUUAUUGUCACAAAAUAUCUUAAGUGGUCUUUCUAUAUUGUCCACAAUGCGCAGCCCAGUGACAAAAUCACAUAGCUAUAUUCCAUGAUUUGAUGCCUCAUAACAUGCUAUAAAUCCGCUGCCAUAGUGGAAGUAGCUAUAAGUGUCUGGUUAGCACUCUUCUAGGAAAUAGCACCUCCAGCAAGCAGGUAAAUAUAGCCUGAAGUGGAUCUCCUACUAUCUUGGCAUCCCGCGAAAUCGGAAUCAGAAUAAUCGAUGAUCUCCAACUGAUCCGAUCUCCUGUAUGUGAGCAUGUAGUCUUUUGUUCUCUGUAAAUACCGCAUGACCCGUUUGGCUGCUUUCCAAUGAUCCAUUCCCGGGUUAUUUAAAUAUCUCCCUAGCAUCCCAACGAUGUACACUAUAUCCAGACGCGUACAAACCUGAGCAUACAUUAGACUCCCUAUAGCUGAGGAAUAAGGAAUCUUCUGCAUUUCUUUAAUUUCCAAGUCAUUUUUAGGGCACUGACUUAAGCUGAACUUGUCUCAUUUAGCCACAGGGGUGUCACAUGGUUUACAAUCUUGCAUGCCAUAUCUUUUAAGUACCUUUUCGAUAUAGCUCUUUUGUGA
rnacentral:lncRNA from 1 species